rnacentral:rRNA from 1 species
AUCUGCCCCGGGUAAGUCGGCCCCUAAGGUCAGGCGGAAACGCGUAGCCGAUGGGAAAUCGGUUUAUAAUCCGAUACCUUUUUCAGUUUCGAGGGCAGGACGCAUGAGGUGAAAUCCGGCAGGGCGACGGUAGUCCCUGUCAAAGCAUCAAUCUGGUGAAGGCUGUAGGCAAAUCCGCAGCCAGAGGAGAGGUGUAAUAGCGAGAGGAAAGAAAGUUGAAUCGAAGCGGACGUAAUCAAGGUGCUAAAAAAUACUGUCUAAGGCUAGGCUGAAAAAGACCGUACCGUAAACGGACACACGAAUGUGGGAUGAGUAAUCUAAGGCGCACGAGCGACCUCGCGUUAAGGAACUCGGCAAAAUGCACACGUAACUUCGGAAGAGUGUGGCUCUGAUUGUAUAAGAUUAAGAGCGGCAGAAAGCAGGCUCAGGCGACUGUUUAUCAAAAACACAGCCUUCUGCUAAACCAGCA